CCUAGAACUAAUCUAAGGUGUAACCUGCCCAAUGGAGUCUAAACUAACUUUAAAACGGUUUAAAAGAAUCUUAAAGGACGCAGUAACCUGACUGUGAUAAAGUAGCAUAAUCAUUCGCCAUUUAAUUGAUGGAUAGUAUGAAUGGUCCAACGCAUCCCUCACUGUCUAAAAAAGAGAAGCCAUGAAAUUAAAAUAAUAGUCAAGAUGCUAUUUGAAAUUGUAAGACGAAAAGACCCUAUAGAGCUUAACUAUACCCUCUUUCUUCAAAAAGGGAACCUUCCCUAAAACAAAGAGGAUGGUAGUUUAGUUGGGGCGACUACCUUUUAAAAUCAACAAAGGCAGGCCAUGUUAAUAACAAACUUAUUGUAUAAUCCAUAAAUUUAACAAUUACUACAGUAGGCUAUAAUGACCCGUUCAUUACUAGUAACAGUGUGAACGCUUAAUAAAUAAAAGUUACCUUAGGGAUAACAGAAUAAUCUUGUUCUAGAGACCCUAUCUGAGACAAGGUUUAUCACCUCUAUGUUGAAUUAAGAUAACCUGGCUGAGCAAAAACCGCCAAAGGUAGGUCUGUUCGACCUUUAAAAU
rnacentral:rRNA from 1 species